AGUUUGAUCCUGGCUCAGGACGAACGCUGGCGGCGUGCUUAACACAUGCAAGUCGAACGAUGAUCAGGAGCUUGCUCCUGUGAUUAGUGGCGAACGGGUGAGUAACACGUGAGUAACCUGCCCCUGACUCUGGGAUAAGCGUUGGAAACGACGUCUAAUACUGGAUAUGAUCACUGGCCGCAUGGUCUGGUGGUGGAAAGAUUUUUUGGUUGGGGAUGGACUCGCGGCCUAUCAGCUUGUUGGUGAGGUAAUGGCUCACCAAGGCGACGACGGGUAGCCGGCCUGAGAGGGUGACCGGCCACACUGGGACUGAGACACGGCCCAGACUCCUACGGGAGGCAGCAGUGGGGAAUAUUGGACAAUGGGCGCAAGCCUGAUCCAGCCAUGCCGCGUGAGUGAUGAAGGCCUUAGGGUUGUAAAGCUCUUUCACCGAUGAAGAUAAUGACGGUAGUCGGAGAAGAAGCCCCGGCUAACUUCGUGCCAGCAGCCGCGGUAA
rnacentral:rRNA from 1 species